rnacentral:rRNA from 1 species
AGUCGACGAUGAAGCCCAGCUUGCUGGGCGGAUUAGUGGCGAACGGGUGAGUAACACGUGAGUAACCUGCCCUUGACUCUGGGAUAAGCCCGGGAAACUGGGUCUAAUACCGGAUAGGAGCGCCUGUCGCAUGACGGGUGCUGGAAAGAUCUUUCGGUCAUGGAUGGACUCGCGGCCUAUCAGCUUGUUGGUGAGGUAACGGCUCACCAAGGCGACGACGGGUAGCCGGCCUGAGAGGGUGACCGGCCACACUGGGACUGAGACACGGCCCAGACUCCUACGGGAGGCAGCAGUGGGGAAUAUUGCACAAUGGGCGAAAGCCUGAUGCAGCGACGCCCCGUGAGGGAUGACGGCCUUCGGGUUGUAAACCUCUUUCAGCAGGGAAGAAGCGAAAGUGACGGUACCUGCAGAAGAAGCACCGGCUAACUACGUGCCAGCAGCCGCGGUAAUACGUAGGGUGCGAGCGUUAUCCGGAAUUAUUGGGCGUAAAGAGCUCGUAGGCGGUUUGUCACGUCUGUCGUGAAAGUCCGGGGCUUAACCCCGGAUCUGCGGUGGGUACGGGCAGACUAGAGUGCAGUAGGGGAGACUGGAAUUCCUGGUGUAGCGGUGGAAUGCGCAGAUAUCAGGAGGAACACCGA